rnacentral:rRNA from 1 species
UACGAGUGGCUCAAGCGUUAUCCGGAAUUAUUGGGCGUAAAGGAUGUGUAGGUGGUUAUAUUAGUCGAAUGUCUAACCUUCCGGGCUUUACCUGGAUUCAGCAUUCGAAACGGUAUUACUAGAGUAUGUUAGGGGUGAGCGGAACUCAUAGUGUAGGGGUGAAAUCCGUUGAUAUUAUGGGGAACACCAAAAGCGAAGGCAGCUCACUGGGACAUUACUGACACUGAAACAUGAAAGCGUGGGUAGCGAAUGGG